ensembl:snoRNA
UGCAGUCAAGUCAAAUUCAGUCCCUGUCCUGUCAUGGCAGGAACUGGCCCAGAUGGCUGCCACAACAAGUCCUGCUGCUCAUGGGCCCUGGGUCCCCUGUCCUGGGACCUAGGGAUAAGUUUAGCUGCAGACAUUG